rnacentral:lncRNA from 1 species
AGAGAAGGAAACAAAGGUGGUGAUGAGAACAAACUGGACCCUAUAGGCUCAUACAUUUGAAUGUUUGGUCACCAGUUGUGUAACUGUUUGGGGAGAGUCAGGAGGUGUGUAUGACCUUGUUAGAAGAGGGGUAUCACUGGAUUGAUCUUUGAGGUCUCAAAAGCCAUUCUCACUUCUCUGUCUCUCUCUCUUUCUCUGUAUCUCUGUCUCUGUCUUUCUGUCUCUCUGUCUCUGUUUCUCUCUCUGUCUCUCUCCUCCCAUCCCAACCCUGGUGGAUCAGGUGCAAGAUCUCAGUUACCGCUGCAGUGCCAUGCCUGCUUGCCUGUGCCAUGCUUCUCACAAUGAUGGUUCCAGACGCUAGCCUCUGCAGCCAGGAGCUCCCAGUUUAAAUGCUUUGUUUUAUAAGUUGCCUUGGACAUGCAGUCUUUUCACUGGAAUAGGACAGUAACUAAGACAAGAAGGAAAAGGAGGAGGAAAAGAAGCAGGGCGGAGAAAGGAGGAAGAGAAGGAGCAGCCACUGAGUUAUCAAUACAUACCGCUGCACCUGACAAGGUGGGGGACCAUGAGCCUGCAUAUCUGUGUUCAUGAGUCUGGAUCCAGCAUGAAAAAGAACGGCAACCUAGGAUCUAAAGGCUAUUGGUGUGCCCCAUGCACCGGCCGAGAAGACAAUCG